rnacentral:rRNA from 1 species
UACGUAGGGUGCAAGCGUUGUCCGGAUUUAUUGGGCGUAAAGAGCUCGUAGGCGGCUUGUUGCGUCUGCUGUGAAAUCCCGGGGCUUAACCCCGGGCGUGCAGUGGAUACGGGCAGGCUGGAGGCAGGCAGGGGAGAAUGGAAUUCCCGGUGUAGCGGUGAAAUGCGCAGAUAUCGGGAGGAACACCGGUGGCGAAGGCGGUUCUCUGGGCCUGUUCUGACGCUGAGGAGCGAAAGCGUGGGGAGCGAACAGG